CUGACUGUCGGUAACAGCAGUGAUACCUGAUCUCUGUUCUGCGCACUUUAUUUUUGGACUGAACUUUAUAUUAAACUUAAACCACACUUGUCGUUCUAACUCGCUGUUUGUUCUCCUCCUCAGAUUGCAAAGGAGCAUGGCAUUAGGUUUUUUGAGACGAGUGCUAAGGCCAACGUCAGCAUCGAGAAGGCUUUCCUCACGUUAGCAGAAGACAUCCUCAGAAAGACGCCUGUAAAAGAGCCCAACAGUGAAAACGUGGACAUCAGCAGCGGAGGUGGAGUCACAGGCUGGAAGAGCAAGUGCUGCAGUUGAACAAGUCCUCGGUUUCACUCUCACACACACUAACGCACACACACCAACACACACACACACACACACACACACACACACACACACACACACACACACACACACACACACACACACACACACACAUUCUGUUUUCUCUCUCUAACGGCUAACUCUAACUCUCUCGCUCUCUAACCUGUCUCAUGAGUUUUUCUUGCACACUGACACUCUCUGUCUCUUUAUCAGAAUAAAACAAUAAACCACUUCACUCUCUAAUCCCCCCUCCCCCCCUGCACCAUAUUCUUCCACUCUCCAUCUGAUGAUCAUUUUUAUUUCUGAUAAAAAGAGAAAUCCAGUCACGUUUCUUGUCAUAUGUUUUAAAAGUUGUUUAAAAAAAAAAGAUGAAAAAAAAGAUAAAGAAAUAAUGUGUGAAAAGACAAGCUCAUAUUUUUAAUAUUUCCUUUGCCUGAGCUCACCUGGUUGGACACCCCCACCCUUAACCCCACCCUCACCCCCAAACCACGUCACUCACUUUCGGUCAGAGGAAAUCUAAAUAAAACAAAAACAAAAAAAGACAAAUGUAGGAUUAACAUUUUGUACACUUUUCUGUUGUCUAACCGUAUUUGGUCAUUUACAAUUUGUUACCAAGUGACAGAGGCGUGGCUAGCUCCUUUUGUAUGUGGGGGUUUAUUUUUGUCCUGUGCCUUAUAUGGAAGACAGGGGCGGGGCUAGUGUUGUGGGCGGGGCCACAUCCACCCAAUGAAAUAACAGUUUAAUAAUCUGUCGGCUCUGUCACGAGGACGCCGCAACUGAAGCGGAACGUUUGAAUUUCUCCUCCAGCCAAGAGAACGGCAUUAUUCAGUAUGUCCUGUUAUUGAUGUUUUUAUUAUUAUCUGUAUGAUUUAUUUUACUUAUUUUUUUUUCCUAUUUGGGUUUGAUUUAUUUUUAUUUUGUUUGCUGCAUGCAGAUUUCUUUGGGUUGGAAGCGUUUCUUGUAACGUUGUGUAACGUUUGCCACUGGGUAACUGUGGGCGGGAGGUACACAAGUUCUCUUUGGAAAUUCAAACAGUUUUGCAGAUCCAUUAAAAAUAAGCUUGUUUAAGUUAA